AGUCUUAUAGUCAAAAAUGAUAUUAAAUUGCAAAUUUAAAGGUAAGUUAAAUUUUAAGGCUU
rnacentral:tRNA from 1 species